AGUGAACGCUGGCGGUAGGCCUAACACAUGCAAGUCGAACGGCAGCACAGUAAGAGCUUGCUCUUACGGGUGGCGAGUGGCGGACGGGUGAGGAAUACAUCGGAAUCUACUUUUUCGUGGGGGAUAACGUAGGGAAACUUACGCUAAUACCGCAUACGACCUACGGGUGAAAGCAGGGGAUCUUCGGCCCUUGGGCGAUUGAAUGAGCCGAUGUCGGAUUAGCUAGUUGGCGGGGUAAAGGCCUACCAAGGCGACGAUCCGUAGCUGGUCUGAGAGGAUGAUCAGCCACACUGGAACUGAGACACGGUCCAGACUCCUACGGGAGGCAGCAGUGGGGAAUAUUGGACAAUGGGCGCAAGCCUGAUCCAGCCAUACCGCGUGGGUGAAGAAGGCCUUCGGGUUGUAAAGCCCUUUUGUUGGGAAAGAAAAGCAGCAGGUUAAUACCCCGCUGUUCUGACGGUACCCAAAGAAUAAGCACCGGCUAACUUCGUG
rnacentral:rRNA from 1 species